rnacentral:tRNA from 1 species
GGGGGUAUAUUUCAAUUGGCAGAAAGUAUGUUUUGCAAAUAUAAGGCUAUCGGUUCGAGUCCGGUUAUCUCCA